CCUACUAUAAGACUGGGAUAACUUCGGGAAACCGGAGCUAAUACCGGAUAAUAUAUUGAACCGCAUGGUUCAAUAGUGAAAGACGGUUUUGCUGUCACUUAUAGAUGGAUCCGCGCCGCAUUAGCUAGUUGGUAAGGUAACGGCUUACCAAGGCAACGAUGCGUAGCCGACCUGAGAGGGUGAUCGGCCACACUGGAACUGAGACACGGUCCAG
rnacentral:rRNA from 1 species